rnacentral:rRNA from 1 species
GCUUCCUUAUUUUAUUAUUGCAUGAAAUAGGUAUCUUAAUCCAACAUCGAGGUCACAAACUUUCUUGAUGAUAAGAACUCUUUAAGAAAAUUAUGCUGUUAUCCCUAUAGUAACUUGUUCUUUUUUAAAAACUUUUUGGUUUUUCAAGAGUUAUCCUCACAUUAUUAAAAUAAAAUUUUAUUUAUUUACUGCCCCAGUAAAAUACUUCGUGGUUUAUAUUGAUGUUAAAUUAGAAUUAUAAAGCUUAAUAGGGUCUUCUUGUCUUUAAAAUAAAUUUUAGCCUUUUUACUAANCUGUAAAAUUUGAAGUAUAAUAAUAGGACAGGAUUAUUUGGUUAAACCAUUCAUUCCAGCCCUCAACUACAGC